AUUGAACGCUGGCGGCAUGCCUUACACAUGCAAGUCGAACGGUAACAGGUCUUCGGAUGCUGACGAGUGGCGAACGGGUGAGUAAUGCAUCGGAACGUGCCCAGUAGCGGGGGAUAGCCCGGCGAAAGCCGGAUUAAUACCGCAUACGACCUGAGGGUGAAAGGGGGAGAUCGCAAGACCUCUCGCUAUUGGAGCGGCCGAUGUCAGAUUAGCUAGUUGGUGGGGUAAAGGCCUACCAAGGCAACGAUCUGUAGUUGGUCUGAGAGGACGACCAGCCACACUGGGACUGAGACACGGCCCAGACUCCUACGGGAGGCAGCAGUGGGGAAUUUUGGACAAUGGGCGCAAGCCUGAUCCAGCAAUGCCGCGUGCAGGAAGAAGGCCUUCGGGUUGUAAACUGCUUUUGUCAGGGAAGAAAUCUUCUGGGUUAAUACCUCGGGAGGAUGACGGUACCUGAAGAAUAAGCACCGGCUAACUACGUGCCAGCAGCCGCGGUAAUAC
rnacentral:rRNA from 1 species